CAUUAAGAAGCUAUUAGCGCUAGCCUUUUAAGCUAGAGACCGGGAGUUAAACUUUCCCUUAAUGA
rnacentral:tRNA from 1 species